GAUGAACGCUGGCGGCGUGCCUAAUACAUGCAAGUCGAGCGAACAGACGAGGAGCUUGCUCCUCUGACGUUAGCGGCGGACGGGUGAGUAACACGUGGAUAACCUACCUAUAAGACUGGGAUAACUUCGGGAAACCGGAGCUAAUACCGGAUAAUAUAUUGAACCGCAUGGUUCAAUAGUGAAGGACGGUUUUGCUGUCACUUAUAGAUGGAUCCGCGCCGCAUUAGCUAGUUGGUAAGGUAACGGCUUACCAAGGCAACGAUGCGUAGCCGACCUGAGAGGGUGAUCGGCCACAGUGGAACUGAGACACGGUCCAGAAUCCUACGGUAGGCAGCAGUAGGGAAUCUUCCGCAAUGGGCGAAAGCCUGACGGAGCAACGCCGCGUGAGUGAUGAAGGUCUGCGGAUCGUAAAACUCUGUUAUUAGUGAAGAACAAAUGUGUAAGUAACUAUGCACGUCUUGACGGUACCUAAUCAGAAAGCCACGGCUAACUACGU
rnacentral:rRNA from 1 species